rfam:Triticum aestivum genome assembly, contig: Triticum_aestivum_CS42_TGACv1_scaffold_560659_7AL
CAAGUACUCCCUCCGUCCAGAAUUCUUGUCAUCAAAAUGGAUGUGUCUAGAACUAAAAUACAUCUAGAUACAUCCAUUUCAAUGACAAGUAUUUUCAGACGGAGGGAGUACAAG